GUUGGUGAACCAGCGGAGGGAUCAUUAAAAGAGUCUUAAAAAAACUCCCAAAACCCCUGUGUAUCUUACCCGUGUCGUUGCUUCGGCGGGCCUAACCGCCCGCCGGAGGUACCCAAACUCAAUGUCUUUUUAUAGUGUAUCUCUGAGCAACAAAACAAACAAAGUCAAAACUUUCAACAACGGAUCUCUUGGUUCUG
rnacentral:misc_RNA from 1 species